CCUACGGGAGGCAGCAGUGAGGGAUAUUGGUCAAUGGCCGAGAGGCUGAACCAGCCAAGUCGCGUGAGGGAAGACGGCCCUACGGGUUGUAAACCUCUUUGGUCGGGGAGCAAGGCGAACCACGUGGGGUUAAUUGCGAGUACCCGAAGAAAAAGCAUCGGCUAACUCCGUGCCAGCUGCCGCGGUAAUACGGAGGAUGCGAGCGUUAUACGGAUUGAUGGGGUUUAAAGGGUGCGCAGGCGGAGGUGCAAGUCAGCGGUCAAAUUGCGGGGCUCAACCCCGUACUGCCGUUGAAACUGCAUCCCUUGAGUGCGCGAGAAGUAUGCGGAAUGCGUGGUGUAGCGGUGAAAUGCAUAGAUAUCACGCAGAACUCCGAUUGCGAAGGCAGCAUACCGGCGCGCAACUGACGCUCAUGCACGAAAGCGUGGGUAUCGAACAGGAUUAGAUACCCGGGUAGUC
rnacentral:rRNA from 1 species